rnacentral:rRNA from 1 species
UUCGCAAUGCCCGAAAGGGUGACGAAGCGACGCCGCGUGUGGGAAGAAGGCCUUCGGGUUGUAAACCACUGUCAGGAGUUAAGAAAUGCAAGGGUGUAAAUAGCAUCCUUGCUUGACUAAGGCUCCAGAGGAAGCCACGGCUAACUCUGUGCCAGCAGCCGCGGUAAUACAGAGGUGGCAAGCGUUGUUCGGAAUUAUUGGGCGUAAAGAGCACGUAGGCGGCUCUAUAAGUCAGCUGUGAAAGCCUUCUGCUUAACGGAAGAACAGCAGUUGAAACUGUAGGGCUUGAGUGCGGGAGGGGAGAGUGGAACUUCUGGUGGAGCGGUGAAAUGCGUAGAUAUCAGAAGGAACGCCGGCGGCGAAAGCGGCUCUCUGGCCCGUAACUGACGCUGAGUGUGCGAAAGCUAGGGGAGCAAACGGGAUUAGAUACCCCGGUAGUCCUAGCCGUAAACGAUGGGCACUAAGUAGAGGGGUUUU